UGAAAAUAUAUUUUCCUAAACAAGUCAGUUUGCAUUUAAGAUGCUCCCUAAGGGAAUGUUUACCUUAUUUCCCAAAGUAUGUUCUACAAACCUCUAAUUCUAAACACUGGUUAUUAGGAUGGUAACAGUUGUCAUUUAGUGGAAGUGUUCUUUCUGUGAUUAAAUAAGUUUGAGUGAUUCCAGGAAUGUGGUGGCACAGCUUGCUUUCUUCUACUUUCAGUUUGAAACUACUUGACUCCCCUGGGCCAGAUCCCAUGAAGCUACAAAGAAAGAUAGCAGCCCAGUGGAGAGGGUCCAACCACCCAAGAGAGAAGGAACAAGUUGAGCUAUCAGAACAUAUGCCACAGAAGUACAGAAAUGGAAACACUGGAGAGGAGAUUCCAGUUCAAGAUGGUGAUGUAGGAGGAUCCCAGGCUCCCAUCCUUCCAUGGACAAACCCAAUCUGCAGCUACAUAUGGAACAAAUUAUUCUGAAAGAAAAAAACUUAAAAACUAUCUGAGCA
rnacentral:lncRNA from 1 species